UCCCUGAUAGUUCAGAUGGUAAAAAUUCUGCCUGCAAUGCAGGAGUCCUGGGUUCGAUUCCUGGGUAAGGAA
rfam:Ovis aries breed Texel chromosome 3, whole genome shotgun sequence.